AGGGAAUCUUCCGCAAUGGGCGAAAGCCUGACGGAGCAACGCCGCGUGAGUGAUGAAGGCCUUCGGGUCGUAAAACUCUGUUAUUAGGGAAGAACAAAUGUGUAAGUAACUAUGCACGUCUUGACGGUACCUAAUCAGAAAGCCACGGCUAACUACGUGCCAGCAGCCGCGGUAAUACGUAGGUGGCAAGCGUUAUCCGGAAUUAUUGGGCGUAAAGCGCGCGUAGGCGGUUUCUUAAGUCUGAUGUGAAAGCCCACGGCUCAACCGUGGAGGGUCAUUGGAAACUGGGAAACUUGAGUGCAGGAGAGGAAAGUGGAAUUCCAUGUGUAGCGGUGAAAUGCGCAGAGAUAUGGAGGAACACCAGUGGCGAAGGCGACUUUCUGGUCUGCAACUGACGCUGAUGUGCGAAAGCGUGGGGAUCAAACAGGAUUAGAUACCCUGGUAGUCCACGCCGUAAACGAUGAGUGCUAAGUGUUAGGGGGUUUCCGCCCCUUAGUGCUGCAGCUAACGCAUUAAGCACUCCGCCUGGGGAGUACGACCGCAAGGUUG
rnacentral:rRNA from 1 species